rnacentral:rRNA from 1 species
AUUGAACGCUGGCGGCAGGCCUAACACAUGCAAGUCGAACGAGUGGCGGACGGGAGAGUAAUGUCUGGGAAACUGCCUGAUGGAGGGGGAUAACUACUGGAAACUGUAGCUAAUACCGGAUACCAUAGAAUGUACCAAGAUGGGAUUAGUUAGUUGGGGGGGAAACGGCACACCAAGGCGAAGAUCUCUAGCUGGGCCGAGAGGAAGACCAGCCACACUGGGACCGGGACACGGUCCAGACUCCAACGGGAGGCAGCAGUGGGGAAUAUUGCACAAUGGGCGCAAGCCUGAUGCAGCCAUGCCGCGUGUAUGAAGAAGGCCUUCGGGUUGUAAAGUACUUUCAGCGGGGAGGCGUUACCCGCAGAAGAAGCACCGGCUAACUCCGUGCCAGCAGCCGCGGUAAUUC